rnacentral:lncRNA from 1 species
AUUUGGAAUCUGAUGCUUGUAUGAUGGAAGCUAGAUUUGGUGUACAUAAUUUGUAUUUGCCAAUAGUUGUUUGUAUAGUAGGCACAGGGAAGCUCUGGAAGGAAUCAGAGGUUUGUAUAUUAAAUUUUUAGAUGUUUUUUUAACACGUUUUGAAAGAAUGGCAUUUCUCAACUGAAUACUUUUGCCAAAGUGUAGAUUGAUUUACCCAUUUAUUGGUCCAUGUCUGGAUAAAAUUAAUUCUAUUCCACCAAAAAGUAGCAGCUGAGAUGGUAUAUUCAACCACAUAACAUUUAUCUUAAGCUAAAAAAAAAUAAAGACAAAAAUUAAAAGCAUGCAUUUAGUUUGAGAAUUAAGUGGAAUAUCUAUUCUAAUUUGAAUCAGGAGGAGCAAUAUUAAUAUAUGUAUUUUAUUAAAUGGAGGAUUAAACUAAACAUUUUAAGCAUAAAUAUAUAAAUGUAUUAUUUCAUAUUUUGCAAGAUGAUAUUACUCGAUUUUAGUUCAAAUUUUGAGAAAUUAAUCAUUGUUUGCUCCUUUUAAAUAAUUUAUUGUAUUUAAAAUACUAAGUAGAAACAACUACAACGAAUUUAGUAAAAAUAAUUGAUGUAAUUUCUAAACUAAAAAUAUAUUUUAUUUUAGGUGAGUCUAAUGAUAAAGAAGCAGCCAGAAUUAGCAACUGUUAUCAAAAUGCAGAAAGAGACUCCUGAUGUAUAUGACGAAGUCUUGACAGCUGUUAAAAAUUACCUACUACAACCUGAGACAGAUAGACAGAAAAAAGUCAGAGAAAAGCUGGAGAAAGCAAAAACAAAACUCAAGAAGAAGGGAAACUUAGAGGAAAAAUUAAAGCAACAAGGAGAUACAAAUUUGUCCUUUCAGGUGUGUCUAUUUAUAUAUGAAAUAUGUUUAUCUUUAAUGAUAUUUCUUGCUUCAGUGCUGGUAAUAGCCCACUUGACUGAAACUAGUUAUUGAGAUACCCCCCAAGGGUGACUGGGGAAACAAAAUAUGGUCACUUGGUCUUCUUUCGAAUGGUAGGGAAAAGCUUUCCAAAGUGCGGUGUCCGUUUGGCUGUGUGGGAUGUAUCAAGUUUGCGGCCACAUUCAGUUAGAAUGGGGACGUUAAAUCCGAUGCCUUGGGUAAAGAGAGUGCCACACUCUUUGCAUGUUAAGAACCCUUGCAAAAACUCUGAGGGUUCUGUAGGUGACCUGUUGCAAGGCAAAAUUUCUGUCCCUAUCCAAUAUACCCUCAUUUUCCAGUGACAGUCAAUCAUCCUGGUUGGCAUCUAUUAUUACAAGACCUACCUAUUGUAUUUAUUGUUAACUUAUUCUCGUCCUGAACAUUCAUGAAGUAUUUGCCACUGGACGUUAAUCAACAAACAAUCGAUCAAAAAGUUAUUGAGAUAUUACCAUCACUUGAUGUUCCUCGUCUGAUGUUGUUCUGUUCUGUUAUACAAUUUAACAUUUAUGAAAAUCUUCUCUAUCACAUAAUUUAUAUUCAUUAUUUCAUUAUAAAAAUGUGUAUUUUUGUCUUAUAGGAAGAGGUAGAACUUAUACAGAGAAAGUUCAUGAGAUAUGUAACAAAGUUAUCAAUGAUGGAAGACACGUACAUUCCACGACUAUUGGUUGUUGAUUUACAUGACAAAAAACAUUGUAAGAAUUUACACAAAAUAUGGGUUGUCCUAUCUAUCAUUUAAACUGAGUAGUUAUUUUAGAAAGAACUUGUUUAAUAUCUAAAGAACUAAAGUUUAAACUACAGUCAUGAAACUAGGCAGGUAUGAUGUAUCACCUUUAAGGGGAGAAAAAUAGUAGGUUACUGCAACCCUCCAUAUUAAGCUUUGCUGAAUUUUGUCAAAUUUUCAUCAGAGUUGAUUUCUUUAACAUAUUUGUACUUGCAGUCACAAAAUCAAAUAGAUUCAUUUUGUGAAAAAGUAAACUCAAAUCCAUCAAUUGUAAUCAUUUCUUUCUGCUUUGUAUGUUUGAUUAGAUUUAAGUUCUAAUCAUAUUUCCAAUUUUUUCAGCAACAAAUUCACUUAUGGACAAUUUACAGGUAAGAAUUAUUUUUCAUAGGUUUAAAAUUUUCCUUUGUAUGGAAGGCCAUGAGACUGCUAAAGGUAAUUAGUGGCCUUUAGUUGUGGUCUCUUUGACAUAUGGACCAUAAUUUGGUAUUCGGCCUUUGGUUUCUUUUUGUAUCCUUUUUUAUAAGUUCUAAAACUUUAACUUUAUUCUGUGGGUUGUGUUGAUGUUAGAAUAGUAUUAAUGGAACAAUUGAGUUUUUCGAGAAAAAAUUAAUACAUUUUGAUUCACCGUUUACGUGACAGGAAACAAAACAGGAAACCAAUUUUUAUUUCUUUAUUUUGCACAAUAUAUUUCAAAGACAUAAAUGAACACCAUUACAGUGUUACUUGCUUCAUGUUAAUAUUUAAAUCUAUUUGCAAUGUUAAAUUAAGUUUUUUUUAAACGCGACAGGAAACCAUAAGAAACCGAAAGCAUUUUUUUAGUUUUAUUUAUUGCAAAAUCUGCUUAAAAAUGAUCUGAACAGUAUACUUUUUCUUAAAAUCCAUCUUAAAUGUAACAGUUAUUAAAACAUCCUAAUAUGUGCUUGUUUUGAAAACAAUUAGUACAAAUUUAUUCAGGAAUUUCCGUAUUUUCUUCAUUGAUACAGGAUACCAUAAUCGUUGUAUCUUGAUGUUUUAGCCAAAAAAUGUUAUUUAUAUUUGGUUUUGAAAUUCCAGUUAUAUACAAUUUAUUCCAAAUCAUUGGUAAUGUAAAAUUCUUUAAAUCCAGUAAAGAAAAACAACUUUUACUUGGAAUUAGCAUCUUUUAAAAUAGCACCAUUGAUAUUUGUGACCUUUGAACAUGGUUUCCACAUUUUAACUACUUUAGUGGGUAAAAUCAAUAAAAUUUCUUUCAAGUUAUCAUGGUAAAUUACUUUUCUUUGACAAGUUUUUGCUUUUGAUAGUUUUCAGAACAUGAAUAAAAAAUUAAUUAAAAUUGUGACAAAGAUACAACUUUGUACAUUCUGUAACGGUACAUUAACAUGUAUUUUUUAUUAAAUUAUCUUAUUCACCUAAAUAUCGUAAUAUUUACUGCUGAGCCUAAACAUCAACGAACAUCGGCACCAUGAUAGGAGACGUAAUUUCGAUGAAUUUUCCAAGGACCCUUUACAUCGUUAUUGGGAAAGAAGUGUGUUUAAAAGUCGUCAAAUCUGAAAUUGAUUUGUAAGUUUGGGCAUUUAUUUCACACAAGAUCGUAUGUAACAUUAUGCACAUAAGUGAAUAGGAAAAAUAAUGACCCCGCGAACUUUGAAAAUUUAUUUUCUUUUUUACAAGACGAAACAAGCUACAGAUUAGUUUGCUUACUCGUUGGAAACAAAUACAAUGUUUAGACCUAGUAUUUCGUAUAUCAAGGGCGUGAUACAUGUUAGUCCAUGUUUCACGUAUGACGGAAAUGAUUAGAACUAACGACAAAAACAAUUUUAAUAAAUAAAUGGCUUCUGUUCGUGAAAAUGUAACGCAUAACGAUAACGUCAUUUUCAAACUUAAUUAUACGAAGAACAAAACAAGCAUGUAAUCAUCUCUGAUUACCUGUUUGAAAUCUCCCAGAGUUCGUAUUUGACAUUGUUGCAAAGAAUUCUUUUACACAAAGCAGAUUAAACAUUAAAAUGUGCGUUACGAAAUGGGAACAAAUAACGACUGUUCUUAACCUGCUACAGAAUCUUAUAGUUCUUGGAUUUUCUUCUACUAUUCUUAUUGUCGAUGUUUUGUUAUUUUAAAGCAAAAUUACGAAUUCCGUACGAUUAUUAUAAAUUAUCAGCGUUAUGCACUCGGGACCGAAAAGUAACGGAGAAACGACACACAAAUAGGUCUAUAAUCUUUGAUUUGUUAAUUUCAAUUUUUUUCUAGAAGAGUAGCAUACCUUGUAUUUGAUAAAAAUAAUGGAUCUUAGAUGUAGUUACAACUUUUCUUACGUAAUUACAUUUUAUUACUUUCUAUGUUAUAGGGAAGGAGCCAAUAGCAAAUUAUAUUCCUCAUUUCCAUUCUCUUUUAUUUGGUUUGAAACAAACCAAAUUUGCAUGGUUUAAAUACUUUCACAGUUUAUUCAUUUUGUAAAGAGACCAUCAUUCAAGUUUUUUGGUUAUAAUAAUCCUUACAUAAUGUAUUUAUUGUACUUUAAAUGGAAAGAAGAAAUACAAAUAGCAUAUCAUAUUAGUUUAAAGGUUUAGGCCAAAAGAAGUCAGAAAAUAGUUAGGGUCGAUUUAGGGGUAGCACAUAUUUACAUUAAAAAUCAUACUAGCUAUAGGGAAUAAAUUGUGUCUAAUUCAUAUUUCUAUAUCAAGUUACAUGAUACAAAUCUGAGACAAAAGGACUCUUUAGUUCAACUUUUUGAGACAGUAUGGUCAAAUGCAAAGAUUUUUCAAUUUUAGUGAAAAACUUGCAUGCAAUUUUAGCCAAACAGGCUUAUAUUUGAAUCACUUGCUAUCCUACAGAAGAAAUGAGACGGGUAAAAAGAUUAUAAGGCUUUUAUAAUUUUGAAAUCUUCAAUAUGGACUUACUUUUAUGUCCAAUUCACAUUUACUUGAUCCAAACAGGGCAUUAGACAAGGGUCAUUUAUACAGACAUUUUGCACACAUAUCUGAAAUUAUCUUCUUUUCUGUAAUAUUCAGAGUUCACAUAUGAGUUAUACAUUGGAUUUAUAAGCAUAAAACACAAAUAUUGAACAUGAAAAAUUGUCAGUAGCAAGUUAGAAUGCACUUAUGCAUCAAAAUUGAAAAAGCUUUGAAAUGCUCAUUUUGACCAUGUAAUGCCAAAAUGGGAAUUUUUUGCAGAUUUCUAUCAAAUAAAAGUUUAAAUCCUUUAGUUUAAUGCUUUUUGACACAUAGGCACCAUUGAAUCAUUCAGGGAAGUUGCCUAAGUACAGAUUCUAUAUUUCAUGAUUCACCUUUUAGUCGAGUAACAGUAUUUCGUAGUGCAUUUCUUUUAGACAAUAAAUGGAAAUAAAAAAAAAUCCCACCUUUCGCUUUCUCCAUAAUAUUUUUACAGUGUGUUGUACUACUUUUGGGACAAAUUAUAUCAAAAUUAUAGAAAACUUCAUCAGCUCUAACUCAAAAUAUGACAAUUUUAUGUGAAGGGGGUCUUGAAAUUUUGACAGCUUCCGAAAUGCUAAUUUUUGACUUUUUCAACUGGACCAAUUCACUACUUUACAUUAUAUCAUGAAUCAAUUUUUUUUAAGUGUCGUUUAUCACCCUUCUGCUACUUGAGGCAUAAAAAUAAUAAAUAAUUGGAAGGGUAUAAAAAAAAUGACAAGUAACACACUGUCCACACUAAGACUAUAUUCAUGAACAAUGAAAAUCAAGGGACGAUAACUGUGUUCUGACCUUAUGUCCUCAAACACAAUCUACUUUUAUAUGUGUCUUUGUUCAAUUAUAGAAUAAAUUCAAGAAAACCUCAAUUAAACUAAAACAUUGUCAUUUUCAAGUUGUAAUUUGUCUAACAAAAAAUAUUUGAAUAGAAAGAAUGCUAAAAGGUUAGAUAAAUUGACAAAUAAAAACUUGAAAAUGACAAUGUUUUAAUAAAAUUUAGACCACUACAUCAAAUCAAUUGAUGCUACUAGAAAUAAAGCUUGCAAGUAUUUUUAUCAUGCACAUUCUUGUUUUAUAUAGCAGUAUGGAAAUCCAGUAUAUAUUGAUAUGGUGUUGAAAGCCAUUGAUGAAGCAUAUACUGGUGACAAGGCCAAGGCUAAGGUUAGUCAACUAGGGUUUAAAACUAAAAAUUACACAUUUUAGAGAGGUGACUGAUGGCAAGAAAGCUUAGUUAUCUUGAUAUAAAAAUAAGGAGAUGUGUUAUGAUUGCAAAUGAAAACACUAUCCAAUAAGGACCAUAGGAGGAGGUUAAAGACAUUGACAAGUCACUAUACAGCCUUCAACAAUAAACGACAUGUCAUGACAAAUAUGAGAAAGAGAAAACCAAAGUUGAUUUAUUCUUAAAACAAUUAUGGCAGACAGCAACCCAGGACAACCACUAAAAAGCAGGCACACAAAAUAUAGUUUUUCUCACAAAAUUUAAUUAAACUAUGCCACAAUCAUUAAUGGGGUAUCUAGUUUCAAAAGUGUGAAAAUUUACCCUGCUUGCUGAGUGCUGACCAAGACGGCUGGCAUAGAUAAGAAAAAAGAACAUUGAGGGUAAACUGCAAUUUUAGUUGAUAAUCUUGAAAACCACUAUAAAUAGAGAAAAAUCUGACGGAGGCAAACAUUUUGAGAUCUACCUGCUGUUUACUUAUGUCAAAAUUGUCAGACGACUCAUAUAGAAGUUAUUGCUCUUAAAUUUCAAUUUCUAUCUAUUUUUUUCAUUUUAGGAUAUUAUUUUUAAUUAUAAUAAUUUCAAAGAAACUUUAAUAAUAUCCAUAUGAAAACUGACAUUGAUAAUACCUGAAUAGCUAUUUCUUGUUUCACUGACAACUUGACAUAUACAAUGUAUAACUAUUUAUAAAGGUUAGAGCUAAUUUUUCUAAUGAUUGAAGAGUUAGACUUCGGUUGGCUUGCUUGCUUUGUUUGUAUUGGCAUUUGCAAACAAUAUAUAAGAAGGUAGAGUUAAACCAGUACACAUUAUACUUAAAUUUGAUUGGAUGCUAUUCUGGAGGCUAGGAAUCUAAAUAUAAUGUAUGCAGGUUGAACUCUGCUUAUGGUAUUCAUUUUGUUUGCAGAUGUCUAUCUUAAUUGCAAUGUUUGACAAAAGGUCAUCCUCUGCAAAGACUGAAAAGACACACAUAAAUAUCUGUAAUCCCUAAAUUGCCUAAUUUUGUCAUUAGAAAUAAACAUUCUUUAUUGUUUGGUAAAUUGAAAGUUUAACUGUAGAUUAUGCAUGCCAUGCUUAUUGACUAUAAAGUAAGUAGAAAGAAUCAAAUUUUUGUUCCAUGAUUAUUAUAACAUCAUUUAUUCCUCUGGGGUUUAUGUCCAGCUUAGGAGCAUUAUGUUUUUUGGUCUGUGUGCCAUUUGUCUGUCCGUCUGUCCCAUUUUCUGUCAAGUUUUUGGGCAAGGUAGUUUUUGAUGAAGUUGAAGUCCAAUCAACUUGAAACUAAGUACACAUGUUCCUUGGUAUGAUAUGAUCUUUCUAAUUUUAAUGCCAAAUAACAGUUUUGACCUCCAUUUCACAGUCCAUUGAACAUAGAAAAAGAUGGUGUGAAUGGGGCAUAUUUGUACUAUGGACACAUUCUUGUUCCCACUAUUUUGAAUAUCAAAUCCCUAAUUUUUCCUUUUUGCCUUACAGGAAGAAAUUGAAAAAAUACAAUGCACAAUAACAGCUCUAGAAAAUGGUAGUGAGGAUAAUCUGCCUUCAGAGUUAAAAUGGGCUUUACAAUUGGUACACAUAGAGUCAAAAAAAUUAGAUGGGAA